UCGAGAAAUCGAUGCACAUUUAUCGGACAAAGAUUACCAUGUGGUCCACACGUAUGUUUUGUUGAACUGUGAAGAAGUUCUACCGUUCGAAAGGAUUUUUGAUGAUCAGGUAUUCAAUACGUACGGUGAUGUAAACGAUGAUCAGUUAAGCCAGAUUAAAGAGAACGGAUUCGCAACCUGGUUAAAAGAAUUUAUUGAAUCAUCGCAAGAAGAUCAUCCAUUGUGGUUACACGAGUUAGUUCAAGGUCCCAUUCGGCUGGUCAAAUGUUGGCCAAUGUUCUCUACGAGAGGAUAUUUAUUUCAUACAUAU